UAUAUUCUUUCUCUCUAGAAGAUACAACGACUCCCUGAAACAACAUCUCAGCCUUGGCUGUAUUGAUCAACAUAACCAGUCUACUCCGGCCUCCAAUCGGGAGGUCUGGAGACACACCAUCUAUAACGCUGCUGCUUCCUUUGAGAUCGCAUGCAGGAUCACUCUUGAGGAGAAAAGA